UUCAAAGGUACUGAGUAAUUAUGUAAUAGGUAAUUGCUUCGAUACCAUUAUACCGCCGUUGGAAUUUAUUUCAACAAAACCGAGAUGACGAACAAAGAAUAAAACCGAGUUCUCUUACUUACAAAAAGGACAUAACGAAAAUGAGAGUAUUAAUCUUUCAACAAAUUGACAAUGCUAUCAGGACGAUUUGUUGAGAGAAGAAAACACCCA
rnacentral:lncRNA from 1 species